rnacentral:rRNA from 1 species
UGAGGAACAUGACCUUCGGCGGGGGAUAGCCGGCCCAACGGCCGGGUAAUACCGCGUACGACCACAUGGGGACAUCCCUGAGUGGUGAAAGCAGCAAUGCGCCGAUGGAGUGCCUCGCGGCCUAUCAGCUAGUUGGUGAGGUAACGGCUCACCAAGGCGGCGACGGGUAGCUGGUCUGAGAGGAUGGCCAGCCACAUUGGGACUGAGACACGGCCCAGACCUCUACGGGAGG